UACAGAGGUCCCAAGCGUUGUUCGGAUUCAUUGGGCGUAAAGGGUGCGUAGGCGGUGGGGUAAGUUGGAUGUGAAAUCUUGGGGCUUAACCUCAAAAUUGCAUUCAAUACUGCUCCGCUCGAGUUCUGUAGAGGAGAUUGGAAUUUACGGUGUAGCAGUGAAAUGCGCAGAUAUCAGGAGGAACACCCGUGGCGAAAGCGGCUCUCUGGGACGGUACUGACGCUGAGACGCGAAAGCGUGGGGAGCAAACAGG
rnacentral:rRNA from 1 species